rnacentral:lncRNA from 12 species
CUCCGUCUGGUCGCACCGGUGCUCCAUGUGCUUGGGUAGGCCCGGGCUGGCCUGGGGUUGCAGGAAAGCACCCACUCUUGGAGCGCUGUCCACGUACUGAGAGUGACCUCAUUCAUUCAACACAUAUUUAUGGGGUGUUUUUAAUAUGCUGGAUGUUUUGUGGGAAAACAAGAUAUAUCAGGCAACGUGGUGUUCUCUGGAGCCUUUAUGCUGGGAGGACUCAAAGAAAUUUACCAAGGCUGAUUGACAUCCUCAUUGCCUUUGUUUGGGUGCUGGUGGCCCCCUGGUCUGUUGACAUGGCCUGCUGCUAAAGAGUUAACCCUAUUGGCAAGUUUGUCAUACUCCUGCCUAACGAUCCCUUAAGCAACCCACAAAUCUUCCUUGCUCGGGAUGACAGUUAAUGAACUGUAAAAGUCUUGCACCAAUAUUUCUACUACAUCUGCAAGCUUGAAGAACGCAAGUUUGUUUUUCAUCCUCGAAAAGAACCAACUGUAUUUCUUAGGCAGACAAGGAUGAUUUGUUUGUGUGGAACUCUUUCAAAUUCUUGAGAAUUUGAUUCAGAGAAUCACAAGCUUCUAAUUAUUCUCAGGAUGUUUUAUGUGCCUGGCUGUGUUUUAUUAGCCUAACUGUACUGCAAACUACUCAAAUAAACUAACUCUGUGACCUUGAGCCGUCA